AGAGUUUGAUCAUGGCUCAGAUUGAACGCUGGCGGCAGGCCUAACACAUGCAAGUCGAACGGUAACAGGAAGCAGCUUGCUGCUUUGCUGACGAGUGGCGGACGGGUGAGUAAUGUCUGGGAAACUGCCUGAUGGAGGGGGAUAACUACUGGAAACGGUGGCUAAUACCGCAUAACGUCGCAAGACCAAAGAGGGGGACCUUCGGGCCUCUUGCCAUCAGAUGUGCCCAGAUGGGAUUAGCUUGUUGGUGAGGUAACGGCUCACCAAGGCGACGAUCCCUAGCUGGUCUGAGAGGAUGACCAGCCACACUGGAACUGAGACACGGUCCAGACUCCUACGGGAGGCAGCAGUGGGGAAUAUUGCACAAUGGGCGCAAGCCUGAUGCAGCCAUGCCGCGUGUAUGAAGAAGGCCUUCGGGUUGUAAAGUACUUUCAGCGGGGAGGAAGGUGUUGUGGUUAAUAACCGCAGCAAUUGACGUUACCCGCAGAAGAAGCACCGGCUAACUCCGUGCCAGCAGCCGCGGUAAUACGGAGGGUGCAAGCGUUAAUCGGAAUUACUGGGCGUAAAGCGCACGCAGGCGGUCUGUCAAGUCGGAUGUGAAAUCCCCGGGCUCAACCUGGGAACUGCAUUCGAAACUGGCAGGCUUGAGUCUUGUAGAGGGGGGUAGAAUUCCAGGUGUAGCGGUGAAAUGCGUAGAGAUCUGGAGGAAUACCGGUGGCGAAGGCGGCCCCCUGGACAAAGACUGACGCUCAGGUGCGAAAGCGUGGGGAGCAAACAGGAUUAGAUACCCUGGUAGUCCACGCCGUAAACGAUGUCUACUUGGAGGUUGUGCCCUUGAGGCGUGGCUUCCGGAGCUAACGCGUUAAGUAGACCGCCUGGGGAGUACGGCCGCAAGGUUAAAACUCAAAUGAAUUGACGGGGGCCCGCACAAGCGGUGGAGCAUGUGGUUUAAUUCGAUGCAACGCGAAGAACCUUACCUGGUCUUGACAUCCACAGAAGAAUCCAGAGAUGGAUUUGUGCCUUCGGGAACUGUGAGACAGGUGCUGCAUGGCUGUCGUCAGCUCGUGUUGUGAAAUGUUGGGUUAAGUCCCGCAACGAGCGCAACCCUUAUCCUUUGUUGCCAGCGGUCCGGCCGGGAACUCAAAGGAGACUGCCAGUGAUAAACUGGAGGAAGGUGGGGAUGACGUCAAGUCAUCAUGGCCCUUACGACCAGGGCUACACACGUGCUACAAUGGCGCAUACAAAGAGAAGCGACCUCGCGAGAGCAAGCGGACCUCAUAAAGUGCGUCGUAGUCCGGAUUGGAGUCUGCAACUCGACUCCAUGAAGUCGGAAUCGCUAGUAAUCGUGGAUCAGAAUGCCACGGUGAAUACGUUCCCGGGCCUUGUACACACCGCCCGUCACACCAUGGGAGUGGGUUGCAAAAGAAGUAGGUAGCUUAACCUUCGGGAGGGCGCUUACCACUUUGUGAUUCAUGACUGGGGUGAAGUCGUAACAAGGUAACCGUAGGGGAACCUGCGGUUGGAUCACCU
rnacentral:rRNA from 2 species